CUCCGUCCUUAGGCCUAGCACAUGCAGUCGAACGGCAGCACAGGAGAGCUUGCUCUCUGGGUGGCGAGUGGCGGACGGGUGAGGAAUACAUCGGAAUCUACUCUGUCGUGGGGGAUAACGUAGGGAAACUUACGCUAAUACCGCAUACGACCUACGGGUGAAAGCAGGGGACCUUCGGGCCUUGCGCGAUUGAAUGAGCCGAUGUCGGAUUAGCUAGUUGGCGGGGUAAAGGCCCACCAAGGCGACGAUCCGUAGCUGGUCUGAGAAGAUGAUCAGCCACACUGGAACUGAGACACGGUCCAGACUCCUACGGGAGGCAGCAGUGGGGAAUAUUGGACAAUGGGCGCAAGCCUGAUCCAGCCAUACCGCGUGGGUGAAGAAGGCCUUCGGGUUGUAAAGCUCUUUUGUUGGGAAAGAAAUCCAGCUGGCUAAUACCCGGUUGGGAUGACGGUACCCAAAGAAUAAGCACCGGCUAACUUCGUGCCAGCAGCCGCGGUAAUACGAAGGGUGCAAGCGUUACUCGGAAUUACUGGGCGUAAAGCGUGCGUAGGUGGUCGUUUAAGUCCGUUGUGAAAGCCCUGGGCUCACCUGGGAACUGCAGGGAUACUGGGCGACUAGAAUGUGGUAGAGGGUAGCGGAAUUCCUGGUGUAGCAGUGAAAUGCGUAGAGAUCAGGAGGAACAUCCAUGGCGAAGGCAGCUACCUGGGACCACAUUGACGCUGAGGCACGAAAGCGUGGGGGAGCAACAGGAUUAGAUACCCUGGUUAGUCCACGCCCUUAACGAU
rnacentral:rRNA from 1 species